rnacentral:rRNA from 1 species
CUACGGGGUGCACCAGUGAGGAAUAUUGCACAAUGGAGGAAACUCUGAUGCAGCAACGCCGCGUGGAGGAUGACGCAUUUCGGUGUGUAAACUCCUUUUAUAUGUCAAGAAAAUGACGGUAGCAUAUGAAUAAGCUCCGGCUAACUCCGUGCCAGCAGCCGCGGUAAUACGGAGGGAGCAAGCGUUACUCGGAAUCACUGGGCGUAAAGGACGCGUAGGCGGGAUAGAAAGUCAGGUGUGAAAUCCUAUGGCUCAACCAUAGAACUGCACUUGAAACUUCUAACCUAGAGUAUGGGAGGGGAAGAUGGAAUUAGUGGUGUAGGGGUAAAAUCCGUAGAUAUCACUAGGAAUACCAAAAGCGAAGGCGAUCUUCUGGAACAAUACUGACGCUAAGGCGUGAAAGCGUGGGGAGCAAACAGGAUUAGAUACCCUAGUAGUC